rnacentral:rRNA from 1 species
CACGUAGGGUGCGAGCGUUGUCCGGAAUUAUUGGGCGUAAAGAGCUCGUAGGCGGUGUGUCGCGUCGGCCGUGAAAACCUGCAGCUUAACUGUGGGCUUGCGGUCGAUACGGGCAUCACUGGAGUUCGGCAGGGGGAGACUGGAAUUCCUGGUGUAGCGGUGAAAAUGCGCAGAUAUCAGGGAGGGAACACCCGGUGGCGAAGGCGGGGACCUGGGGCCAGUAC